AAUUCUAGACAGCCAGAAAGAAGUUACAGACGGGUUUACAGAAAGGCCAUCAUUUGACAAAAUUACCCUCAGUUUUUGUUAAUAUUUCAUAGAAACCAUUGAAACCCUGAAACCCCUUCUAAGUCUAGGCUCUUUCAAUUCCCGCCCGAAGAUUGAAACCCCCUUCCUCCUCAUCCUUUCAGUAGCCGCCCGAAGAUGGUCGUCAAACCCCCUUCCUCAUCAUCAUUUCAGUAGCUGCCCGAAGAUGGUCGUUCUCGUCAACUGAACCGGAACACCAGCAUCUGUUGUCUCUCUUAGCUCCGUCGACGAGACCACCAGAACACCAGGAGCGGUCGUCUCUCUCAGCUCAAUCGCAUCACCUAGCAGCAACCGCUCCCAAUCGCAUCGCCUAGCAGCAACCGCCCCCAAUCGCAACAACCCACGAACCCCACAACCAUCUGGGGCCACCACUUGUUGCAACUACUUCGCCCCCACCUGCUGGCCACUACAUCCCUCAUCGUCGGCCAACGGUCUUUGAAGCCCCCCACCAGCUGGCCAGUCGCACCUACCUGAAGAGACAUUGCAGAAUUUGACAAUGACGGGAAAGAAUAGAGGAAUUUGUCAUAGCUGUAGACGUUCUGGUCACAAUUUGUCGGAAUGUCCCACAAAGCAACAUUGCCCUUCAUGUGGACAGGGGUUUGUGAAGUGGAUGGAGGUAGAGAAAAAUACGGUGAACAAAGGACGUAUGUUUUUUUGUUGUAGUGCUGAUUGCAGAUAUUUCAAGUGGGCUGACGAAUGCCCUGAAAAGAAAGCUGAUGCUUUUGGAGAACAAGUAAGUGAAGUGAUGUAUGACGAAGGUGAAUCAAGUGGUGGUGUUUCGGCCAAAGCAUCUAAUGAGAAAGAUGUGGAGCUGGCUCGCUUAGUUCAACGUCUUGCUCGCAUUUCUGAAGAGAAAGAUGUGGAGAUAUCUCUCAAUCUAACAAUUCGCAAGGGAAAAGGAAACGCACCCUCUUGAGCUUGUCAAACCUCGAAUCUACUAAAAUGAUGUUAACAUGUGUUGUUAAAUUAGAAAUGACCUUUGUCACAUUGUACAAAUACGUUAAGUACUAACUAGUAUAAGAAAGUAACAUGACUAUUUUCUAUUUGUUGGCUCAUCAAGCCAUUAAUUCUCAAAUUGACUUCUUUCGAU